CUACGGGAGGCAGCAGUGGGGAAUUUUGGACAAUGGGGGCAACCCUGAUCCAGCCAUUCCGCGUGAGUGAAGAAGGCCUUCGGGUUGUAAAGCUCUUUCAGCUGGAACGAAACGGUACGCUCUAACAUAGCGUGCUAAUGACGGUACCAGCAGAAGAAGCACCGGCUAACUACGUGCCAGCAGCCGCGGUAAUACGUAGGGUGCGAGCGUUAAUCGGAAUUACUGGGCGUAAAGCGUGCGCAGGCGGAUUGUUAAGCAAGAUGUGAAAUCCCCGGGCUUAACCUGGGAAUGGCAUUUUGAACUGGCAGUCUAGAGUGCGUCAGAGGGGGGUGGAAUUCCACGUGUAGCAGUGAAAUGCGUAGAGAUGUGGAGGAACACCGAUGGCGAAGGCAGCCCCCUGGGAUGACACUGACGCUCAUGUACGAAAGCGUGGGUAGCAAACAGGAUUAGAUACCCUGGU
rnacentral:rRNA from 1 species